ACAAAAUUGACUUUUGUGAGACAAAAUUGACUUUUGUUAAAAGUCAAUUUUGUCUCACAAAAGUCGAUUUUGUAUGCAAAUU
rnacentral:sRNA from 1 species